CCUACGGGGCGCAGCAGUGGGGGAUAUUGCACAAUGGGGGGAACCCUGAUGCAGCGACGCCGCGUGGGUGAAGGAGUGCUUCGGCAUGUAAAGCCCUAUCGGCAGGGAAGAAGCAAGACGGUACCUGACUAAGAAGCCCCGGCUAACUACGUGCCAGCAGCCGCGGUAAUACGUAGGGGGCGAGCGUUAUCCGGAUUCACUGGGUGUAAAGGGAGCGUAGACGGCCAUGCAAGCCAGGGGUGAAAGCCCGGGGCCCAACCCCGGGACUGCCCUUGGAACUGUGCGGCUAGAGUGCGGGAGGGGCAGGCGGAAUGCCUGGUGUAGCGGUGAAAUGCGUAGAUAUCAGGAGGAACACCGGCGGCGAAGGCGGCCUGCUGGACCGCGACUGACGUUGAGGCUCGAAAGCGUGGGGAGCGAACAGGAUUAGAUACCCCGGUAGUC
rnacentral:rRNA from 1 species